rnacentral:rRNA from 1 species
CACGUAGGGCGCAAGCGUUGUCCGGAAUUAUUGGGCGUAAAGAGCUUGUAGGCGGUUUGUCGCGUCUGCUGUGAAAUCUCAAGGCUCAACCUUGAGCUUGCAGUGGGUACGGGCAGACUAGAGUGUGGUAGGGGAGACUGGAAUUGCUGGUGUAGCGGUGAAAUGCGCAGAUAUCAGGAGGAACACCGGUGGCGAAGGCGGGUCUCUGGGCCGAUACUGACGCUGAGGAGCGAAAGCGUGGGGAGCGAACAGG